AACGCGAAGAACCUUACCUGGGCUCGAAAUGUAGAGGACUUAGUAAGAGAUUACUAAUCCCGAAAGGGUCUCUAUAUAGGUGCUGCAUGGCUGUCGUCAGCUCGUGCCGUGAGGUGUUUGGUUAAGUCCAGCAACGAGCGCAACCCUUAUCGUUAGUUGCCAACGCGUAAUGGCGGGAACUCUAACGAGACUGCCUAGGUUAACUAGGAGGAAGGUGAGGAUGACGUCAAGUCCGCAUGGCCUUUAUGUCCAGGGCUACACACGUGCUACAAUGGUCGGUACAGAAGGCAGCGAAGCUGUGAAGUGGAGCAAAUCCUACAAAACCGAUCUCAGUUCAGAUUGCAGUCUGCAACUCGGCUGCAUGAAGUUGGAAUUGCUAGUAAUGGCGUGUCAGCAAUAACGCCGUGAAUACGUUCCCGGGCCUUGUA
rnacentral:rRNA from 1 species